UAAACACAUAUAGAUGCACAACCUAUCCAUUACUACAAGGAUUUUUGCAUGAUAUGAAGUGAUCAAAACUCUAACGAAAGUGACUGCUGCUCUGCUCAAUACUUGGAGCUGCAAAGUGAUUUCCAAGAUAUUAAGUUUCCUAGAACUUCACGUUAGAAUUACUGGUUUGGAAUGAACUGACACUUUCUCAUUAACCAACGACAAAGAUUUAUACAAAGAAGAUACAACAAGAACAACUAUUCUAGGGAUUAUUACAACAAG
rnacentral:lncRNA from 1 species